rnacentral:rRNA from 1 species
GUAGGUGGCAAGCGUUGUCCGGAAUUAUUGGGCGUAAAGCGCGCGCAGGCGGUUCUUUAAGUCUGACGUGAAAGCCCACGGCUCAACCGUGGAGGGUCAUUGGAAACUGGAGAACUUGAGUACAGAAGAGGAAAGCGGAAUUCCACGUGUAGCGGUGAAAUGCGUAGAGAUGUGGAGGAACACCAGUGGCGAAGGCGGCUUUCUGGUCUGUAACUGACGCUGAGGCGCGAAAGCGUGGGGAGCAAACAGGAUUAGAUACCCUGGUAGUCCACGCCGUAAACGAUGAGUGCUAAGUGUUAGGGGGGUUUUCCGCCCCCCUUAGUGCUGCAGCUAACGCAUUAAGCACUCCGCCUGGGAUACGGCCGCAAGGCUG